rnacentral:rRNA from 1 species
AAGGCGCGCGAUACAGGGUGACAGCCCCGUACACAAAAGCGUAUGUGCUGUGAGCUCGAUGAGUAGGGCGGGACACGUGGUAUCCUGUCUGAAUAUGGGGGGACCAUCCUCCAAGGCUAAAUACUCCUGACUGACCGAUAGUGAACCAGUACCGUGAGGGAAAGGCGAAAAGAACCCCGGCGAGGGGAGUGAAAAAGAACCUGAAACCGUGUACGUACAAGCAGUGGGAGCCCCACCACUAAGCCAGUGGUGAACUCCACAUACGCAUCCUUUGCUGAGGAUACGGUUAACGGAGCGAAAGCGACGUUCAACCGCAAAAGAAGCAGAGGGGGCUUAGUGGUGGGGUGACUGCGUACCUUUUGUAUAAUGGGUCAGCGACUUAUAUUCUGUAGCAAGGUUAACCGAAUAGGGGAGCCGGAGGGAAACCGAGUCUUAACCGGGCGUUAAGUUGCAGGGUAUAGACCCGAAACCCGGUGAUCUAGCCAUGGGCAGGUUGAAGGUUGGGUAACACUAACUGGAGGACCGAACCGACUAAUGUUGAAAAAUUAGCGGAUGACCUGUGGCUGGGGGUGAAAGGCCAAUCAAACCGGGAGAUAGCUGGUUCUCCCCGAAAGCUAUUUAGGUAGCGCCUCGUGAAUUCAUCUCCGGGGGUAGAGCACUGUUUCGGCUAGGGGGCCAUCCCGGCUUACCAACCCGAUGCAAACUGCGAAUACCGGAGAAUGUUAUCACGGGAGACACACGGCGGGUGCUAACGUCCGUCGUGAAGAGGGAAACAACCCAGACCGCCAGCUAAGGUCCCAAAGUCAUGGUUAAGUGGGAAACGAUGUGGGAAGGCCCAGACAGCCAGGAUGUUGGCUUAGAAGCAGCCAUCAUUUAAAGAAAGCGUAAUAGCUCACUGGUCGAGUCGGCCUGCGCGGAAGAUGUAACGGGGCUAAACCAUGCACCGAAGCUGCGGCAGCGACGCUUAUGCGU